AAUAAAGCCUGACAGGGACAGGAGAGACAGGGCUGGGCCUCCACGGCGCCAUGCCAGCACUAACCAGGAGAGCGAGGGCCAGCUCAAGGACCCACGCCCCACCACCCCGCUUCAGUGCUGUGCUGUUGUAUCCCUGGGGGCAGAGGAGGCUUCAAGUUGUUUUCUCCACUUACCAGCUGGAUGACUUAUGGGGAAGAAGAAAGAAGGACCGAUUAAAGGCAUCCCUUUUCUAUUGAUAGAAACAGAUGCAGUUUUUCC
rnacentral:lncRNA from 1 species